ensembl:lncRNA
CAGAGCUACAGACUACAAUACAUUGUUGCCCUGCAUUUUUUGGAUAUUUCUACAUAUUUCUGGAAGCCAUGGCUGCGUGGAAAAAAUAGAGGAGCAUGUCAUAGUGUGUGUGCUUUGUUUUUCUAAUCUGAUAUUCUAUGGUCUGCACUCCGUUCCGUCAUUUCCUUUUCUUUUUUUUUUUGCAUCCCGCGCAAGCGCAGAACUUACAGGCUACUGAGUCGUUGGCAGCAGUCACCAGGGAGUUCCAACCACCAACGGAGUGGUUGGAUAAAGGCAGUUGGCCGUUGGUUUGAUUCGGGGUGUGUGCGCGCCCAUCUACUUACAUACACAACAUAUUGGCGACGAAGAAUUACUUUUCUUGGGAUUCCACAACCUCCUGCUUUCCUCGACACUCCUGGGGUUAAGGGAGAAUCCUCCUCACGUGUAAUGGCCAAGUGGACCGAAGAAAUGGAGGAGCAGCUGAUUGCACUGGUGGAAGAGAGACCACCGUUGUACAACAUCACGCUACAGGGCUAUUCCAAACGGAAUAGGAAGGAUCAACUGUGGCGUGAGAUCGAAAGCGAGCUCCAUCUAUCAGGAAUUGUGUGAGGCUGGGGCGCCUGAGGGGGCGAGCAUGGUGACCGAUUCCUCUCUGGAGGGCAAUGGCAGCACACUACCAGAGGAGACCGAGUUGGACAUCCCGCUGGCUGGCUCCCCGAUUGCAGAGUCGGCCAUCUGUGCUUUUCUUGGAAAUUCACAACCUGCUGCUUUACUGGACACUCGUGAUAAGGGAGAGUCCUCCUCACGUAUAAUGUUCAAGUGGACCGAAGAAAUGGAGGAGCAACUGAUUGCUCUGGUGGAAGACAGACCACCGUUGUACAACAUCACGCUACAGGGCUAUUCCAACCGGAAUAGGAAGGAUCAACUUUGGCGUGAGAUCGAGAGCAAGCUCCAUCUAUCAGGGAAAGAAGUGCGGAGGAAAUGGGACAACCUCCGUACGACCUACAAUCGCUUUAAAAAAACGGCUCCUUUGGGAAGCUCAGGGGCCCCGAGGACAACGAGACAACAUUGGACCCUCAAUCGGAUGCAGUUCAUUGAGCCACACACCAAGAGGAAGGAGAGCACGUCCAACCUUCCUCGCAAGGAAUUGUGUGAUGCGGGGGCGCCUGAGGGGGCGAGCAUGGUGACCGAUUCCUCUUCGGAGGGCAAUGGCAGCACACUACCAGAGGAGCCGGAGGUGGACAUCCCGCUGGCUGGCUCCCCGACCAUCUGUGAGGGUACACUCCCUGGGGUUUUGGAGUGCAGUUUGACCUCCGGAGGUACUGACCAACGCCAGCGUCAGCCCGCAAAGCGGAAAAAGAAGCGUGGGGAUCGGGCCGUGAAUGAGGAGGUGGUGCUCAUGCAGACCAUCGGCAAAACCCUGGAAAGGAUGGCAACAGGAGCACCACGGCAAGAGGAGCACAACGACUACAUUUCGGUGUGCUGCAAGCGGAUUGAACACCGGCUGCGAAUGCUCCCGCAGCAUCAGCUCGCACAGUUUGAGUAUGAGAUGGACUGCCUGCUCUACAGGUUUUCCCAGAACCAGAUCCAGGAAACUGACUGAAAGGACCUUACUCCUCUGGCAACGGACUGAAAGGACAUAAGUCCUCUAUGAUAUUUAUAUUUGUGCCUUUUCCCUUUUUACUGCUCUGGAAUACGGUACACCACUUUAGAUAAAAAAAUUUAAUAAAUUAUAAGCUGUUUUCUUCCUGUCUCCUUUUUUCUAUAUUUGAACAUAGGCUAUAUGCAGGGGUGUUGUGGUAAAAUAAGAUGUGGGUAAUAUAUGAGGAUGGCAGAUAUUGAAUCCCGAUAGUUGGUAUUUUUACGCUGAAUAAUUGUGAUUUAUUCCUCCAACAUCUGGAACUUCAUCGCCAGUUCCCGACACAGAAACUGAUAAGCUCCUUUUGCCUGCCGCUGUGGGAUCCACGACUUCACCCACGACUAAGUAUUGUAUUCCACAAACUUCUUUGGUCAAACGAAUAAUGAGAUAAUUACGUGCACUUUGUUUUCUAAUCAGAUCAUCUGCAUUACCUUUGCCAUUUCCUGUUUUCAUGUUGUGGGUAAGUUUGUUGCAGAACAGGAGCCACACACAACGUGCAAGAUGUUGCUGUGCAUAAUCUUACAGUCCUUAGCAUUGCUCCCCCUUCAAAUGUGUCACAGACCCGACGUCUUACCUGUACUGUGUCUCUUCACAUAAAAGAUGGUCAGACGUUUACCAGAGAUCUGCUUGUAGAUACUGGUUCAGCAGUCUCCAUACUUCCAGAGCACAUUUGCCAGAGCACAUUAUGUGCCUCUUACAAAGCUUACAGUUAGAUUAGCGAUGUACAUGAAGAAACCUAUUACUGUCCUAGGGUAUACAAACCACACCUCCUGACUGCCGCUUUGCAAUUACUCUUGUUGACUACUAUCGAUGGCCUGAGAUUGCCUUCUGCUCAGCUGUAACCAGGGGCAAUUCUAGGUUCUGACUUGGAUGGAAAUGGGUGUGAACUAUAAUAAUCAAUUUGAGGUAUAUUCAAUUUUCUUUGGGUAAUUUUCAUUAAAAAAUGACCAUAUUUCUCACUUUU